rnacentral:lncRNA from 1 species
AUGUGUUACAGUGUGUUUACAGUGUUUGUGGUUGUCAUCAUGUGUUACACUGUUUUUGUGUUUCAUCACUUGUCAUCAUGUGUUACACUGUUUGUGUUGUCAUCAUGUGUUACAGUGUUUGUGUUGUCAUCAUGUGUUACAGUGUUUGUGUUGUCAUCAUGUGUUACAGUGUUUGUGUUGUCAUCAUGUGUUACACUGUUUGUGUUACACCGUUUGUGUUGUCAUCAUGUGUUACACUGUUUGUGUUACAGUGUUUGUGUUGUCAUCAUGUGUUACAGUGUUUGUGUUGUCAUCAUGUGUUACAGUGUUUGUGUUGUCAUCAUGUGUUACACCGUUUGUGUUGUCAUCAUGUGUUACAGUGUUUGUGUUGUCAUCAUGUGUUACAGUGUGUUACAGUGUUUGUGUUGUCAUCGUGUGUUACGGUGUUUGUGUUGUCAUCAUGUGUUACAGUGUUUGUGUUGUCAUCAUGUGUUACACUGUUUGUGUUACACCGUUUGUGUUGUCAUCAUGUGUUACACUGUUUGUGUUACAGUGUUUGUGUUGUCAUCAUGUGUUACAGUGUUUGUGUUGUCAUCAUGUGUUACACUGUUUGUGUUACAGUGUUUGUGUUGUCAUCAUGUGUUACAGUGUUUGUGUUGUCAUCAUGUGUUACACUGUUUGUGUUACAGUGUUUGUGUUGUCAUCAUGUGUUACAGUGUUUGUGUUGUCGUCAUGUGUUACAGUGUUUGUGUUACAGUGUUUGUGUUGUCAUCAUGUGUUACAGUGUUUGUGUUGUCAUCAUGUGUUACAGUGUUUGUGUUAGAGUGUUGUGUUGUCAUCAUGUGUUACACUGUUUGUGUUGUCAUCAUGUGUUACACUGUUUGUGUUACACUGUGUUGUCAUCGUGUGCUACACUGUUUGUGUUACACUGUGUUGUCAUCAUGUGUUACAGUGUUUGUGUUGUCAUCAUGUGUUACACUGUUUGUGUUACAGUGUUUGUGUUGUCAUCAUGUGUUACAGUGUUUGUGUUGUCGUCAUGUGUUACAGUGUUUGUGUUACAGUGUUUGUGUUGUCAUCAUGUGUUACAGUGUUUGUGUUGUCAUCAUGUGUUACAGUGUUUGUGUUGUCAUCAUGUGUUACAGUGUUUGUGUUAGAGUGUUUGUGUUGUCAUCAUGUGUUACACUGUUUGUGUUGUCAUCAUGUGUUACACUGUUUGUGUUACACUGUGUUGUCAUCGUGUGCUACACUGUUUGUGUUACACUGUGUUGUCAUCAUGUGUUACAGUGUUUGUGUUGUCAUCAUGUGUUACAGUGUGUUACAGUGUUUGUGUUGUCAUCAUGUGUUACAGUGUUUGUGUUGUCAUCAUGUGUUACACUGUUUGUGUUGUCAUCGUGUGUUACAGUGUUUGUGUUGUAA